CCUACGGGUGGCUGCAGUGGGGAAUAUUGGACAAUGGGCGAAAGCCUGAUCCAGCCAUGCCGCGUGUGUGAAGAAGGCCUUCGGGUUGUAAAGCACUUUCAGUGGGGAAGAAAGCCUUGGGGCUAAUACCCUCGAGGAAGGACAUCACCCACAGAAGAAGCACCGGCUAACUCCGUGCCAGCAGCCGCGGUAAUACGGAGGGUGCGAGCGUUAAUCGGAAUUACUGGGCGUAAAGUGCGCGUAGGCGGUCUGAUAAGCCGGUUGUGAAAGCCCCGGGCUCAACCUGGGAACGGCAUCCGGAACUGUCAGGCUAGAGUGCAGGAGAGGAAGGUAGAAUUCCCGGUGUAGCGGUGAAAUGCGUAGAGAUCGGGAGGAAUACCAGUGGCGAAGGCGGCCUUCUGGACUGACACUGACGCUGAGGUGCGAAAGCGUGGGUAGCAAACAGGAUUAGAUACCCCGGUAGUC
rnacentral:rRNA from 1 species